rnacentral:rRNA from 1 species
CAGCAGCCGCCGCGGGAAAACGUAGGUGGCAAGCGUUGUCCGGAAUUAUUGGGCGUAAAGGGCUCGCAGGCGGUUUCUUAAGUCUGAUGUGAAAGCCCCCGGCUCAACCGGGGAGGGUCAUUGGAAACUGGGAAACUUGAGUGCAGAAGAGGAGAGUGGAAUUCCACGUGUAGCGGUGAAAUGCGUAGAGAUGUGGAGGAACACCAGUAGCGAAGGCGACUCUCUGGUCUGUAACUGACGCUGAGGAGCGAAAGCGUGGGGAGCAAACAGGAUUAGAGACCCCCGUAGUCCCUGUCUCUUAUAC